CCUACGGGGGGCAGCAGUGAGGAAUAUUGGUCAAUGGACGAGAGUCUGAACCAGCCAAGUAGCGUGAAGGAUGACUGCCCUAUGGGUUGUAAACUUCUUUUAUAUGGGAAUAAAAUGUUCCACGUGUGGGAUUUUGUAUGUACCAUAUGAAUAAGGAUCGGCUAACUCCGUGCCAGCAGCCGCGGUAAUACGGAGGAUCCGAGCGUUAUCCGGAUUUAUUGGGUUUAAAGGGAGCGUAGGUGGAUUGUUAAGUCAGUUGUGAAAGUUUGCGGCUCAACCGUAAAAUUGCAGUUGAAACUGGCAGUCUUGAGUACAGUAGAGGUGGGCGGAAUUCGUGGUGUAGCGGUGAAAUGCUUAGAUAUCACGAAGAACUCCGAUUGCGAAGGCAGUUCACUGGACUGCAACUGACAGUGAGGCUCGAAAGUGUGGGUAUCAAACAGGAUUAGAUACCCCUGUAGUC
rnacentral:rRNA from 1 species